rnacentral:rRNA from 1 species
AGCGAACGCUGGCGGCGUGCUUAACACAUGCAAGUCGAACGGAAACGCCCUACUAUCGUGGGGUGCUCGGGUGGCGAACGGGUAAGUGACACGUGAGUAACCUGCCCUUCACUUUGGGGUGAGUUCAGGAAACUGGACCUAAUCCCGGAUAGGAGCUCCUCCUGCAGUGUGAGGGGUGGAACGUUGCGGCGGUUGGGGAUGGACGCGCGGCUUAUCGGCUUGUUGGUGGGGGAGUGGCUUACCAAGGCAUUGACGGGUCGCCGGCCGGAGAGGGGGACCGGCCACAAUGGGACUGAGAUACGGCGCAGACUCCUACGGGAGGCAGCAGUGGGGAACAUGGCACAAUGGGCGGAAGCCGGAGGCAGCAACGCUGCGGGUGUGAUGACGGUUUUCGGGGUGUAAACCGCUGCCGCUUGUGACGAAGCUUGAGUGACGGUAAUGAGUAAAGAAGCACCGGCUAACUACGUG